AGUCAAGUAAUUAAGUGCAUGUGGUGGAUGCCUUGGCAGUCAGAGGCGAUGAAAGACGUGAUAGCCUGCGAAAAGCUCCGGGGAGGCGGCAAAUAUCCUUUGAUCCGGAGAUGUCUGAAUGGGGGAACCCACCUACUUUAAGGUAGGUAUUGCAACAUGAAUACAUAGUGUUGCAAGGCGAACGAGGGGAAGUGAAACAUCUCAGUACCCUUAGGAAAAGAAAUCAAUUGAGAUUCCCUCAGUAGCGGCGAGCGAACGGGGAUCAGCCCAUUAAGUUAUGUGUGUUUUAGUGGAACGCUCUGGGAAGUGCGAACGUAGAGGGUGAUAUUCCCGUACACGAAAGGGCACACAUAAUGAUGACGAGUAGGGCGAGGCACGUGAAACCUUGUCUGAAUAUGGGGGGACCAUCCUCCAAGGCUAAAUACUCCUGACUGACCGAUAGUGAACCAGUACCGUGAGGGAAAGGCGAAAAGAACCCCUGUGAGGGGAGUGAAAUAGAUCCUGAAACCGCAUGCAUACAAGCAGUGGGAGCACCUUCGUGGUGUGACUGCGUACCUUUUGUAUAAUGGGUCAGCGACUUAUAUUCAGUAGCGAGGUUAACCGUAUAGGGGAGCCGUAGAGAAAUCGAGUCUUAAUAGGGCGUUUAGUUGCUGGGUAUAGACCCGAAACCAGGCGAUCUAUCCAUGAGCAGGUUGAAGGUUGGGUAACACUAACUGGAGGACCGAACCCACUGUCGUUGAAAAGCCAGGGGAUGACUUGUGGAUAGGGGUGAAAGGCUAAUCAAGCCUGGUGAUAGCUGGUUCUCCCCGAAAGCUAUUUAGGUAGCGCCUCGGACGAAUACCAUAGGGGGUAGAGCACUGUUUCGGCUAGGGGGUCAUCCCGACUUACCAAACCGAUGCAAACUCCGAAUACCUAUGAGUACUAUCCGGGAGACAGACUGCGGGUGCUAACGUCCGUAGUCAAGAGGAAAACAAUCCAGACCGCCAGCUAAGGCCCCAAAAUCAUAGUUAAGUGGGAAACGAUGUGGGAAGGCAUAGACAGCUAGGAGGUUGGCUUAGAAGCAGCCACCCUUUAAAGAAAGCGUAAUAGCUCACUAGUCGAGUCGGCCUGCGCGGAAGAUGUAACGGGGCUAAAACUAUGUGCCGAAGCUGCGGAUGUAUACUUUGUAUACGUGGUAGGGGAGCGUUCUGUAAGCCGAUGAAGGUGUGUUGAGAAGCAUGCUGGAGGUAUCAGAAGUGCGAAUGCUGACGUGAGUAACGACAAAACGGGUGAAAAACCCGUUCGCCGAAAGACCAAGGGUUCCAGUCCAACGUUAAUCGGGGCUGGGUGAGUCGACCCCUAAGGCGAGGCCGAAAGGCGUAGUCGAUGGGAAAAUGGUUAAUAUUCCAUUACUUCUGUGUAAUGCGAUGAGAGGACGGAGAAGGCUAAAUCAGCCUGGCGUUGGUUGUCCAGGUGAAAGGAUGUAGGCAUGUAUCUUAGGCAAAUCCGGGGUACUCUAUGCUGAGAUCUGAUAGCAAGCUGUACUUGUACAGCGAAGUGGUUGAUGCCAUGCUUCCAGGAAAAGUCUCUAAGCUUCAGUUACACAGGAAUCGUACCCGAAACCGACACAGGUGGUCAGGUCGAGUAGACCAAGGCGCUUGAGAGAACUCUGCUGAAGGAACUAGGCAAAAUGGUACCGUAACUUCGGGAGAAGGUACGCUGUUGUUGGUGAUGGAACUCGCUUCCUGAGCUGACGACAGCCGCAGAAACCAGGCCGCUGCAACUGUUUAUUAAAAACAUAGCACUCUGCAAACACGAAAGUGGACGUAUAGGGUGUGAUGCCUGCCCGGUGCUGGAAGGUUAAUUGAUGGGGUUAGCGUAAGCGAAGCUCUUGAUCGAAGCCCCAGUAAACGGCGGCCGUAACUAUAACGGUCCUAAGGUAGCGAAAUUCCUUGUCGGGUAAGUUCCGACCUGCACGAAUGGCAUAAUGAUGGCGGCGCUGUCUCCAGCAGAGGCUCAGUGAAAUCGAAAUCGCUGUGAAGAUGCAGUGUACCCGCGGCUAGACGGAAAGACCCCGUGAACCUUUACUGCAGCUUGACACUGAACUUUGACCUUACUUGUGUAGGAUAGGUGGGAGGCUUUGAAGCUGGAACGCUAGUUCCAGUGGAGCCGUCCUUGAAAUACCACCCUGGUAAUGUUGAGGUUCUAACUCUGUCCCGUGAUCCGGGACGAGGACCGUGUCUGGUGGGUAGUUUGACUGGGGCGGUCUCCUCCUAAAGAGUAACGGAGGAGUACGAAGGUGCGCUCAGCGUGGUCGGAAAUCACGCGUAGAGUAUAAAGGCAAAAGCGCGCUUAACUGCGAGACCCACAAGUCGAGCAGGUACGAAAGUAGGUCUUAGUGAUCCGGUGGUUCUGUAUGGAAGGGCCAUCGCUCAACGGAUAAAAGGUACUCUGGGGAUAACAGGCUGAUACCGCCCAAGAGUUCAUAUCGACGGCGGUGUUUGGCACCUCGAUGUCGGCUCAUCUCAUCCUGGGGCUGAAGCAGGUCCCAAGGGUAUGGCUGUUCGCCAUUUAAAGAGGUACGCGAGCUGGGUUUAGAACGUCGUGAGACAGUUCGGUCCCUAUCUACCGUGGGCGCUGGAAAUUUGAGAGGAUCUGCUCCUAGUACGAGAGGACCAGAGUGGACGAACCUCUGGUGUACCGGUUGUGACGCCAGUCGCAUCGC
rnacentral:rRNA from 1 species